AACGAACGCUGGCGGCACGCCUAACACAUGCAAGUCGAGCGGGAUCUUCGGAUCUAGCGGCGGACGGGUUAGUAACGCGUGGGAACGUACCCAGAUCUACGGAAUAGCCUCGGGAAACUGAGAGUAAUACCGUAUACGCCCUUCGGGGGAAAGAUUUAUCGGAUUUGGAUCGGCCCGCGUAAGAUUAGAUAGUUGGUGGGGUAAUGGCCUACCAAGUCUACGAUCUUUAGCUGGUUUGAGAGGAUGAUCAGCAACACUGGGACUGAGACACGGCCCAGACUCCUACGGGAGGCAGCAGUGGGGAAUCUUAGACAAUGGGCGCAAGCCUGAUCUAGCGAUGCCGCGUGAGUGAUGAAGGCCUUAGGGUCGUAAAGCUCUUUCGC
rnacentral:rRNA from 1 species